UACGGAGGGGGCUAGCGUUGUUCGGAAUUACUGGGCGUAAAGCGCGCGUAGGCGGCUUUGUAAGUUAGAGGUGAAAGCCCGGAGCUCAACUCCGGAAUAGCCUUUAAGACUGCAUCGCUAGAACGUUGGAGAGGUAAGUGGAAUUCCGGGUGUAGUGGUGAAAUGCGUAGAGAUCCGGAGGAACCCCAGAGGCGAAGGCGGCGUCCUGGCUCGCAUCUGACGCUCAGACACGACAGCAUGGGGAGCGAACGGG
rnacentral:rRNA from 1 species